rnacentral:rRNA from 1 species
GCGGCGUGCUUAACACAUGCAAGUCGAGUGCGCGCCUGUAGCAAUACAGGUGGCGCACGGCGCACGGGUGCGUAACACGUGGGUAAUCUGCCCUUCGAUGGGGAAUAACUCGCCGAAAGGCGAGCUAAUUCCGCAUAACAUUCCAAGAACUUCGGUUUCUGGAUUCAAAGGCGUAAGUCGUCGGAGGAGGAGCCCGCGCACGAUUAGCUAGUUGGUGAGGUAAUGGCUCACCAAGGCUAUGAUCGUUAGCUGGUCUGAGAGGAUGGCCAGCCACACUGGAACUGAGACACGGUCCAGACUCCUACGGGAGGCAGCAGUGGGGAAUCUUGCACAAUGGGCGAAAGCCUGAUGCAGCGACGCCGCGUGGGGGAUGUAGCUUCUCGGAGUGUAAACCCCUUUCGACCCGGACGAAAACCUCGCAAGAGGAUUGACGGUACGGGUAUAAGAAGCCCCGGCUAACUACGUGCCAGCAGCCGCGGUAAGACGUA